rnacentral:rRNA from 1 species
UACAGAGGGUGCGAGCGUUAAUCGGAAUUACUGGGCGUAAAGCGUGCGUAGCCGGUUAUGUAAGUCAGGUGUGAAAGCCCCGGGCUCAACCUGGGAAUUGCAUUUGAGACUGCAUAGCUAGGGUGCGGAAGAGGGAAGCGGAAUUUCCGGUGUAGCGGUGAAAUGCGUAGAUAUCGGAAGGAACACCAGUGGCGAAAGCGGCUUCCUGGUCCAGCACCGACGUUCAGGCACGAAAGCGUGGGGAGCAAACAGG